rnacentral:rRNA from 1 species
AUGAAGAUCACGGCGUUCAUCAUGCUGAGGCCGUCGGCCGGAGGCGCCGGGGGCUCCUCCUCCACCGGCGGGCAGGGCUCCGAGGCGCUCAUGCUGGCCAACGCCACGGACGUCAGCCACUUUGGCUUCUUCCGGCGUGACACUACACGCGAUUUCAUUGUCUUCAUCGCCCGCACCGUCGCCCAGCGCACCCAGCCUGGCCAGUGCCAGUCCGUCCAGCAUGAAGGUAACCACCCAUCUCAGAUUUGCUUUCCGCUACCUGGUAUCUUUUACUUUGCAAUACUAGAGCAAGGGCGACAUGGGUGA